GCAUGAAGUUAUUUCUAUAGAGUAUCCAUCAAUGGAUCAUAGGAAUCUGACCUUAUCCAGUUGUGGGAGCUAGAUAAGCAGUGCCUUUAAGUUUUUGUAUCUGAUUCUAGAUUUUAAGUCAACAGGGCAGGAAGUUCAAGAAGGAAGAUAGAUAUAACAUGGGGUGACUGUGGACAAGAUGGAACCCGCAGACAUGAGCUGGAAGCUGUGGGACUAGGUCAUGUGCAUUAGCCUUGUUCUCAACUUCAGGGCUGUAUGUGUCUUGCAGAAGCAGCUGGUGCCCUCUGUUACCGAGCUAAACAGACAUCUGGCCCCAAAGUCAAAGAAAAUCAAAGACGAUCCAGUGGAAGGAGAACAACUACAGGUCUGCUCUGUCCAUUUUUGCCUCACGUAGUUUGAUGUUCUGUUGUGGGCGCAUACACAUGGAAAAUUGCUAUCUUCUUUAUCAUGUGAUAUCACUUCGUCCCCAUCACUUCCCUCGCUUUGAAGUAUGCUCUGCCUGAAAUUAAUAUAGCUACUCCUGCCUUCUUUUGAUUAGUAUAACUUUCUCUAUCCAUUUACUUUUCCCCUGCAUAUAAUCGAAUUUAUAUUUAAAAUGGGUUUGUUACAGACAACAUAUAGUCAAAUAUUGCUUUUUGACCCAGUCUGACAGUUUGUCUUUUGAAGAAUGUGUUUAGACCAUUGACAUUUAAAGUCAUUAUGAGAUAGUUGGAUAACAUGUACCGUAUUUGUUACUCUUUUCUAUGUGUUAUCCUAUACUGUGUUCCUGUUUGGGGCUUCCAUUCUUUCUCUUUCUUCUGUGGUUUUAACUGAGAAUUUUAUAUCAUUUCAUCUUUUCAGUUAUACUACUUCUUUUUUUUAACUUUAGAGGGUGCCUUUGAGUUUCCAAUAUACAUUUACAAAACCCAUUUCCACUUUCAGAUAACUCUAUGCACUUCACAAGUAGUGUACCUUAUAAUGACAAAAUAACCUUAAUUCUUCCUCCCUUUCCUUUGUCUUGGUGAUAUAAUUCAUUUCAUUUAUACAUAACUAUACACAACAUAUGCAUAUAAGCAUAUAUCGUCAAAUAUAUUGUUGGCAUUAUUUUGAACACAUUACCUUUUACCGUAAAUUGAUUUAGGUAAAUCAAGUUUUCAUUUUGCCAUCAAUGAUUCCUCCUCUGAUGCUUUUCCUUUCUGAUCUGAUUUUUUACUUUUCUCUGUAGAGCAUCCUUUACCAUUUCUUACAAAGCAGGUAUACUGGCAACGAAUUCACUCCGUUUCUGUUUGUCUGGGAAAGUAUUUCUUACUCUCCUUUGAAGGAUCGUUUCACAGGGAAUAGAAUUCUAGGGUGUUGGUUACGUUUUCUUUCACCAUCUUACUAUUUCACUCCCUCUCCUCUUACUUGUGUAGUUUCUAAGAAGCUUGAUAUAAUUUUUUCUUUUUCGUCUUCUCCAGAUGGCCUUUUUUACAAGAUUUUUCUUUAUAUUAGAUUAUCUGAAGUUUGUAGGUGUUCUGCCUUGGUGUAAAAAAAUUUUUUUUACAUGUAUCCUUCUUGGUGUCCCCUGAACUUCCUGAAUCUGUGGUUUGGUGUAUGACAAUAAUUUAUGGAAAAUUUCAGGCAUUAUUGAUUCAAAAACUUCCUCUGUUCCUAUCUUACGUCUUCUAGUGUUCCCAUUAUACAUAUAUUAAAACUUUUGCAUUUCUAUCAAAGUUUUUGUGUAUCGCUUCUUUUUCUUUGUUGUUUAUUUUUCCUCUUGGCUUUUAAGUUUUGAAAGCGUCUGUUCAAGUUCAGAGGCUCUUUACUCAGUUUUGUCCAGUCUGAUAAUGAUCCCAUAGAAGACAUUCUUCAUUUCUAGUAGUUACUGGUUUUCCGCAUCUUUUUGAUUCUUUCUUUGAAUUUCCAUCUCUCUGCUUACAUCGUCCACCUGUUCUUGCAUGCUUUCUCUUCUAUCCAUUAACACCCUUAGCAUAUGAAUCACUGUUCUUUGGAAUUCCCCAUCUGAUGAAUCUAACAUCUCUGAUACACCUGGUCUCGUUCUAUUGCUUGCUCUGUUUCUUCAAACAGUGUUUUUUACCUUUUAGUAUUCCUUGAAAUUUUUUCUUCAUAUCCAGGCAUGAGGUACUAGGUAAAACGUAUCCAGAGCUGGUUCCAGCAUAGGUUUAUGCUUGUGGAUUUCUAUUCUGUUAAGUUGUGAUUUUCUAUUUACAUGUAUCUUCAAUUUUGGUGCAGCAUUUUGCUCUGUGACUUCACCUCUCAGACAGAUCUAAGGUGAGUUAUUGAUUUUUUUUUUUUGGUUUGUUCAUUUUUCGUAACUUACUGUUAAAACAAAGUAAAGACUUCCAAGCUCCUAACAAGUAGGACUGGAAAUUGAACUCUUUAUUACAAGGUAUUAAAAAAUAAUUCAGAGGCCAUACUCUAACAAGGAAAUUUUUCUAAAAUCUGAGAUUAAAAAAAAAUCAGUGAUUUUAUAUCAUUCUUCAAGAGCAGUUUAGUUCAACAUUUUGACUCUCCCAUCCCUCCUAAACAAAAAUUCAUUAAUAUGUUUACCCCCACAAAGGCAUAGAGUGAAAUUGCUGUUGGAGCUAGGGAAUGGAUAUGUAUAGCCUUUUUAAGCUACAAAUGUUUCUUGGAGGUCCUACUAUGACACAGUCUUUUAAGAACCAGACUGCAGUGGCACCAAUUUGAUCUCUGCCCCAGUGCAGUUGAUUCAAGGAUCCAGUGUUGCUGUAGCUAUGGUGUAGUUUGCAGUUGCAGCCUGGAUUCAGUCCCUAGCCCAGCAAUUUCCAUAUCCUGUGGGUGCAUUAAAAAGAUGUUUCUUUUCGCUAUGACCAUAAAUAACAACAAAAAGUCAACAGUGGCCUUAAUCAUGAACAUUCCUAUUUUAUGGGCAUUACUGGAAUAAAUAUUGAACUUGAAUGUAUCUUGACUUGUUC
rnacentral:lncRNA from 1 species